CGCCCCGCCCACGGCCGCCCCUGCUCGCCCCGCCCACCACCGCCCCCUGCUCGCCUGCAAGCGAGGAGAUAACAAAAAGGAGAAGCCGUUCAACGACAUGAGGACGGCGAACAUCGGCGAGGCGGACUGCCGCGUCACAGGGAGAAAACUAGCAGCCUCCUAGGGUUCAACCUUGGCGGCAAAAUCUCCACAACAAUGAGGGGGAUUCGAAGAGCAUUCUGUCAAUAUCUGAUGUUACUUGUUACAUUUUUUCUGAAAUUUAAAAGCUUUCAGGUGUGUAAUGAAUUUCAGUAACAGUUUCACUGCUCUUUUUUUGUUAUAUGUCACGUUUACAGUCGAAUGAAAUUUCCGGGCAUUUGUCGCUUAAAUCGUUGCAAGUGAGCUUCAGACUGAGGUCACGACUUCACCAGCCCAUCCUAUUGUCUUUGCCUCCUAUCCCUGAAUCCUGAAAAGACAGUGGGGUUCGGUCCAAGAUUGCCAAGGACGAUGAGCGUCUUGGUGGUGCAGCUGCGGACAGCUGCGAUCAUCGGCAGAAGGCACGAACACUAGGAAAUAUGCUACAACAAGUGCAUCAGGAGUGAAGUCAGGAGAAUAGCUUCUUCUGGGCUUGAGGUUUCAACAGAUUGAUUUCAACGGAAGGAUGCCGGUGCACUGGCUGUAUCUAUGUGCAAGGAAUUCUGCUUCUUGUAGUUGCAGGACCAUGAGAUGUCGACACUGCACUCUGGACACACCAAGGUGUCAGACAGGUGAGUGAUGGUGCCAAGACUCUCGAUUUCUUCAGCUUGAAGAAGCUACGACAACUUGACUCAAUUAUGCAUAUCGCCGAGCUAUCCGACCUGCUGCUAGGAACCUACUCCUCCUCCUAUUGGAUAGUCCCAGAGACAAACAUCUGUAUAAUACAGGCUGCAGCCUUGAAGGCUAGAGCUGAAGACUCAACUAGCUUGAUCUCUACAACUAACAUGAUGAUAUGUAUAUUUUUGCUAAAAGAUUCGGUGUCUGAAGGUACUCCACCCUGCUCCAUCUCAGUUUUGGUCAAAUCUGAAUAUUCUUGCUGUAUCAAGCUGCUGUUUCAGAAUUGUACUGAUCCUAAGUUACAGCAGUGUUGGAUUAUGCUGAAGAUUGUAUAGAUCCUAAGUUACAGCAGUGUUGCAUCUUUAAACUCAUAACAUUGUGCUGAAGAUUGUACUGAUCCUAAGUUACAACAGUGCUAAAGAUCGAAACGCAAUCCUGAUCAAAGUGAUAAGCUCCAAUCAGGUAGUCCUGGUGCUCUCAUAUGAGUCAUGGGCAUGCUUGAUGCAGAAUUGGCCAGUGUAAACUUCACUAUGCAUUCUUGGGUGGUAAAUAAAUAGAGUAUUCUCAAAUUAUUCAAUCAAAACAUUACAUGAUGUUUUUGUGCUCUUGUUGUGUAACUGUACCGAAGUGCUAUGGACACAAUUUCUUUAGUGGAUUCCCUGUAAUAACAUAAGGCUGUUAUAUUGGAGAACAUCGCAAUCUUUCCACCACAAAUUUGAAAUGAUUCUGGAUGCACUUUCUUCUUUCUAAUCGUUGUUCCUGUAGGAAACUGAAUUGUUUCUGAAGGUGCAUGAGAGGAACAGAAACACAUGACUGGCCACAUUGCAUAGCAAUGUGCAAAGCAUGGAAAUUCUCACAUUCUUUCUAGAUAAUUGCCUAAAGAUUACCUUUUAGUCUUUAAUGCUACUGGAGUUGCCAACAAUGAUGAUAAGAAUUUACUUGGAGUACAUUGAACUCACACUGAUCAAAAUGUGAUGUUGUUGCUGUGUUGAUCACUGAACCUGAAUUCAGUUACCACUGUUGACGAGGCAAUGACAGCCGCCACUGCUGCCAAUCAACAGAGGAGGUGAGGACAGCCUGGGGCGGCGCUGGGUGAGGUGAGAUGGUGGGGCGUCAUAGAUUGGCAGCGACCCGCUUGGUCCUAUGGCGAGCCGGCGGUGAGCCAUAGGAGCGGAGGGUGCUUGUUGUUGCCGAGGUACUUGAGGUACUUGGGGUUGACGUGGGGAAAAAGAACUAUUGGGGGGUCAUCGGAAUUGACGACGAAGCGGACCGACAGGUCCCACCACUCCACCGCUGCCAACUACACCGUCGGGAUCGCCGGGGUCGGAGAAGGGGAGGAGGACGAAGCAGAGGGGGCGGGGCGUGAUUAACAUGGGCGGUGCAGAUUGAAGCGGCGACGCGGGUGGGUGCGCAGAGCGCUGGGCCCUGCGGCGGCUGCCGGCGAUGGCUGGAGCUCGUUCCUGCCGCGGGCGAAGAGGCAAGGGUGAUUUGCAGGGACUAUAAUAUCACAAGGUUUUUUUUGCAAAAACGAAAAUAAACUAACCCGUGGACAACUUUUUUCGGACGGAGGGAGUAUCUCUUACAUGUUCACUUGGACAAAGCUUAAGUUUAUAGUCAUAUAAAGUUCAUAAAUACGUUCUAAAAUAUUCAUGAAAUAUUUAAUUCCAUUUUUGUUA